CUGCGCGGGAGCAGCUCGCCGGUCCCCGCGAGGAAAUUUGCUCCAUCUCCAGCAGCAACCACUGCUCCUUUUGAUGUUGUGGUACGCCGUGCGCAUGCGCUGCACAUUAGAAUUACUGCACUGGCCAGAAUAAGUUGGAUCUCUUCUUCUCUUCACUGAAACCCUAAAUCAUAUCAAAAACCAAAGGGAUGUUGAGAGUCCGGAAAAAGGGUUACUUGGGGAUUUGGUCCUUCCCUUUAAUAAUAGCGGUGGUGUGUGCACAGAGUGUCAAUGACCCUAGCAAUAUGUCACUGGUAAAAGAGACCGUGGAUAGACUGCUGAAGGGCUAUGACAUUCGCUUGAGGCCAGAUUUU